UACGUAGGUGGCAAGCGUUGUCCGGAAUUAUUGGGCGUAAAGCGCGCGCAGGCGGUCCUUUAAGUCUGAUGUGAAAGCCCACGGCUCAACCGUGGAGGGUCAUUGGAAACUGGGGAACUUGAGUGCAGAAGAGGAUAGUGGAAUUCCAAGUGUAGCGGUGAAAUGCGUAGAGAUUUGGAGGAACACCAGUGGCGAAGGCGACUAUCUGGUCUGUAACUGACACUGAGGCGCGAAAGCGUGGGGAGCAAACAGG
rnacentral:rRNA from 1 species